UCAGGGCGUGGCUGAGUCAGUUAAGCAUCUCACUUACACCGAGAAGACAUCCA
rnacentral:tRNA from 1 species